GGAGCUGUAGCUCAGUGGAAGAUCAUCUGCCUUGCAUGCAGAAAGGUCCCAGGUUCAAUCUUCGGCAUCUCCU
rnacentral:tRNA from 1 species